AGAGCGAACGCUGGCGGCAGGCUUAACACAUGCAAGUCGAGCGGACGUAGCAAUACGUCAGCGGCAGACGGGUGAGUAACGCGUGGGAACGUACCUUUUGGUUCGGAACAACACAGGGAAACUUGUGCUAAUACCGAAUACGCCCUUACGGGGAAAGAUUUAUCGCCGAAAGAUCGGCCCGCGUCUGAUUAGCUAGUUGGUGGGGUAACGGCCCACCAAGGCGACGAUCAGUAGCUGGUCUGAGAGGAUGAUCAGCCACAUUGGGACUGAGACACGGCCCAAACUCCUACGGGAGGCAGCAGUGGGGAAUCUUGCGCAAUGGGCGAAAGCCUGACGCAGCAACGCCGCGUGGAGGACGAAGGCUUUCUGAGUUGUAAACUCCUUUCAGCAGGGACGAUAGUGACGGUACCUGCAGAAGAAGCACCGGCCAACUACGUGCCAGCAGCCGC
rnacentral:rRNA from 1 species